GACGAACGCUGGCGGCGUGCUUAACACAUGCAAGUCGAACGAUGAAGUUCCUUCGGGAAUGGAUUAGUGGCGAACGGGUGAGAAACACGUGAGAAACCUGCCUUUCAUUUUGGGAUAACUCCGGGAAACCGGAGCUAACACCGAAUACUCCGUCUCGGCGGCAUCGCUGAGCCGGGAAUAAAUUAUGAUGAAAGAUGGUCUCGCGGCCUAUCAGCUAGUUGGUGAGGUAAUGGCUCACCAAGGCGACGACGGGUAGCCGGCCUGAGAGGGCGACCGGCCACACUGGGACUGAGACACGGCCCAGGCUCCUACGGGAGGCAGCAGUGGGGAAUAUUGGGCAAUGGGCGCAAGCCUGACCCAGCGACGCCGCGUGAGGGAUGAAGGCCUUCGGGUUGUAAACCUCUUUCAGUAGGGAAGAAGCGAAAGUGACGGUACCUAAAGAAGAAGCACCGGCUAACUAUGUGCCAGCCGCCGCCGUAA
rnacentral:rRNA from 1 species